UACGGAGGAUCCAAGCGUUAUCCGGAUUUAUUGGGUUUAAAGGGUGCGUAGGCGGCUUUUUAAGUCAGGGGUGAAAACUUGCGGCUCAACCGUAAGCUUGCCUUUGAUACUGAGGAGCUUGAAUACACUUGAGGUAGGCGGAAUGUGACAAGUAGCGGUGAAAUGACAUAGAUAUGUCACAGAACACCAAUUGCGAAGGCAGCUUACUAAAGUGAGAUUGACGCUGAGGCACGAAAGCCAGGGGAGACAAACGGG
rnacentral:rRNA from 1 species